rnacentral:misc_RNA from 1 species
GUAGGUGAACCUGCGGAAGGAUCAUUAACACGUUCCAAAACGUUUAUCAACCAAACGGUUUAGUGCAACAGUACUCCCUAACAAGAGGGUUAAGCUGCUCUUCUUCUUCUCCAGUGAUAGGUGGGUUCGCAAGGACUCGCGGAGAGACGUUGGGCUAGGGUCUCGAACCCAAGGCUCCUUUUGUUAGGCUUUUUCCCCCCUUUUCUCUAUCACUAACCAACUAACCACUUUCACCCCUUUAAAACAUUUG